UUAGAUAUGCUAUAAUAGUCAAGACAGUAAAGUUUGAAGACGGUGGCGACUUCUGGAAAGGUGGUGGUGCUUAUGAAUGUAAGUGCUAAAAUCUAUGAAAGGAGUAAGCCUUUUGUCCGCAUAUGAGACAAUUCAAACCAUUCUUGGUUUUGGUAUGUUUACCAUUGCUUUGAUUAGUUUGAU
rfam:Enterococcus durans ATCC 6056 genomic scaffold acyDB-supercont2.6, whole genome shotgun sequence.